rnacentral:rRNA from 1 species
AUGCAUCAAGUUUGCACAAGGUGGCAAAUCCAACAAUUUAUGUACUGUAUUUGCAUUUUGCAAGAUAAUUUGGCUGCCAAAGUGCUACAUCAUAUCUCACUAGACCUAUUGAAAUCCAACAUCCGUUCGUCCUCUAAAUUGGGGCUCCAUGGCUGCCAACCGACGGAGCAAGAAAAGAGACCACCCUCUCCUCCUCCGGUUUGGAGCUCCAUGGCCGCCAUUCGACAGGCGCACUUCGUCAUUGCCUCCUCACCGCCUCACCUGGUAGACCGCAGGUAUGUGAGAAAAAAUAUUGUAUUGCUUGGAAAAAGCAUGCAAAAUUAG